rnacentral:rRNA from 1 species
UACAGAGGUCUCAAGCGUUGUUCGGAUUCAUUGGGCGUAAAGCCUGCGUAGGCGGCCCGGUAAGUCGGGUGUGAAAUCUCGGAGCUUAACUCCGAAACUGCAUUCGAUACUGCCGUGCUUGAGGACUGGAGAGGAGACUGGAAUUUACGGUGUAGCGGUGAAAUGCGUAGAUAUCGUAAGGAAGACCAGUGGCGAAGGCGGGUCUCUGGACAGUUCCUGACGCUGAGGCACGAAGGCCAGGGGAGCAAACGGG